AGUGAACGCUGGCGGUAGGCCUAACACAUGCAAGUCGAACGGCAGCACAGUAAGAGCUUGCUCUUACGGGUGGCGAGUGGCGGACGGGUGAGGAAUACAUCGGAAUCUACUUUUUCGUGGGGGAUAACGUAGGGAAACUUACGCUAAUACCGCAUACGACCUACGGGUGAAAGCAGGGGAUCUUCGGACCUUGCGCGAUUGAAUGAGCCGAUGUCGGAUUAGCUAGUUGGCGGGGUAAAGGCCCACCAAGGCGACGAUCCGUAGCUGGUCUGAGAGGAUGAUCAGCCACACUGGAACUGGGACACGGUCCAGACUCCUACGGGAGGCAGCAGUGGGGAAUAUUGGACAAUGGGCGCAAGCCUGAUCCAGCCAUACCGCGUGGGUGAAGAAGGCCUUCGGGUUGUAAAGCCCUCUUGUUGGGAAAGAAAAGCAGCAGGUUAAUACCCCGCUGUUCUGACGGUACCCAAAGAAUAAGCACCGGCUAACUUCGUG
rnacentral:rRNA from 1 species